CAGAGAGUAGUUUAAUGUAAGAUAUCAGCUUUGGGAGCUGGAGAUAGAGGUUUAAGUCCUCUCUUUCUGA
rnacentral:tRNA from 1 species